CGGGACACGUGGUAUCCUGUCUGAAUAUGGGGGGACCAUCCUCCAAGGCUAAAUACUCCUGACUGACCGAUAGUGAACCAGUACCGUGAGGGAAAGGCGAAAAGAACCCCGGCGAGGGGAGUGAAAAAGAACCUGAAACCGUGUACGUACAAGCAGUGGGAGCACAGAGCAAUCUGUGUGACUGCGUACCUUUUGUAUAAUGGGUCAGCGACUUAUAUUCUGUAGCAAGGUUAACCGAAUAGGGGAGCCGAAGGGAAACCGAGUCUUAACUGGGCGUUAAGUUGCAGGGUAUAGACCCGAAACCCGGUGAUCUAGCCAUGGGCAGGUUGAAGGUUGGGUAACACUAACUGGAGGACCGAACCGACUAAUGUUGAAAAAUUAGCGGAUGACUUGUGGCUGGGGGUGAAAGGCCAAUCAAACCGGGAGAUAGCUGGUUCUCCCCGAAAGCUAUUUAGGUAGCGCCUCGUGAAUUCAUCUCCGGGGGUAGAGCACUGUUUCGGCAAGGGGGUCAUCCCGACUUACCAACCCGAUGCAAACUGCGAAUACCGGAGAAUGUUAUCACGGGAGACACACGGCGGGUGCUAACGUCCGUCGUGAAGAGGGAAACAACCCAGACCGCCAGCUAAGGUCCCAAAGUCAUGGUUAAGUGGGAAACGAUGUGGGAAGGCCCAGACAGCCAGGAUGUUGGCUUAGAAGCAGCCAUCAUUUAAAGAAAGCGUAAUAGCUCACUGGUCGAGUCGGCCUGCGCGGAAGAUGUAACGGGGCUAAACCAUGCACCGAAGCUGCGGCAGCGACGCUGAUGCGUUGUUGGGUAGGGGAGCGUUCUGUAAGCCUGUGAAGGUGUGCUGUGAGGCAUGCUGGAGGUAUCAGAAGUGCGAAUGCUGACAUAAGUAACGAUAAAGCGGGUGAAAAGCCCGCUCGCCGGAAGACCAAGGGUUCCUGUCCAACGUUAAUCGGGGCAGGGUGAGUCGACCCCUAAGGCGAGGCCGAAAGGCGUAGUCGAUGGGAAACAGGUUAAUAUUCCUGUACUUGGUGUUACUGCGAAGGGGGGACGGAGAAGGCUAUGUUGGCCGGGCGACGGUUGUCCCGGUUUAAGCGUGUAGGCUGGUUUUCCAGGCAAAUCCGGAAAAUCAAGGCUGAGGCGUGAUGACGAGGCACUACGGUGCUGAAGCAACAAAUGCCCUGCUUCCAGGAAAAGCCUCUAAGCAUCAGGUAACAUCAAAUCGUACCCCAAACCGACACAGGUGGUCAGGUAGAGAAUACCAAGGCGCUUGAGAGAACUCGGGUGAAGGAACUAGGCAAAAUGGUGCCGUAACUUCGGGAGAAGGCACGCUGAUAUGUAGGUGAAGUCCCUCGCGGAUGGAGCUGAAAUCAGUCGAAGAUACCAGCUGGCUGCAACUGUUUAUUAAAAACACAGCACUGUGCAAACACGAAAGUGGACGUAUACGGUGUGACGCCUGCCCGGUGCCGGAAGGUUAAUUGAUGGGGUCAGCGCAAGCGAAGCUCUUGAUCGAAGCCCCGGUAAACGGCGGCCGUAACUAUAACGGUCCUAAGGUAGCGAAAUUCCUUGUCGGGUAAGUUCCGACCUGCACGAAUGGCGUAAUGAUGGCCAGGCUGUCUCCACCCGAGACUCAGUGAAAUUGAACUCGCUGUGAAGAUGCAGUGUACCCGCGGCAAGACGGAAAGACCCCGUGAACCUUUACUAUAGCUUGACACUGAACAUUGAGCCUUGAUGUGUAGGAUAGGUGGGAGGCUUUGAAGUGUGGACGCCAGUCUGCAUGGAGCCGACCUUGAAAUACCACCCUUUAAUGUUUGAUGUUCUAACGUUGACCCGUAAUCCGGGUUGCGGACAGUGUCUGGUGGGUAGUUUGACUGGGGCGGUCUCCUCCUAAAGAGUAACGGAGGAGCACGAAGGUUGGCUAAUCCUGGUCGGACAUCAGGAGGUUAGUGCAAUGGCAUAAGCCAGCUUGACUGCGAGCGUGACGGCGCGAGCAGGUGCGAAAGCAGGUCAUAGUGAUCCGGUGGUUCUGAAUGGAAGGGCCAUCGCUCAACGGAUAAAAGGUACUCCGGGGAUAACAGGCUGAUACCGCCCAAGAGUUCAUAUCGACGGCGGUGUUUGGCACCUCGAUGUCGGCUCAUCACAUCCUGGGGCUGAAGUAGGUCCCAAGGGUAUGGCUGUUCGCCAUUUAAAGUGGUACGCGAGCUGGGUUUAGAACGUCGUGAGACAGUUCGGUCCCUAUCUGCCGUGGGCGCUGGAGAACUGAGGGGGGCUGCUCCUAGUACGAGAGGACCGGAGUGGACGCAUCACUGGUGUUCGGGUUGUCAUGCCAAUGGCACUGCCCGGUAGCUAAAUGCGGAAGAGAUAAGUGCUGAAAGCAUCUAAGCACGAAACUUGCCCCGAGAUGAGUUCUCCCUGACUCCUUGAGAGUCCUGAAGGAACGUUGAAGACGACGACGUUGAUAGGCCGGGUGUGUAAGCGCAGCGAUGCGUUGAGCUAACCGGUACUAAUGAACCGUGAGG
rnacentral:rRNA from 1 species